GAGAGAGAAGCUCACCAAGACCCAUCGUUUCUCUCUUUCUUUCUUUGUUUCUUUCUCCCCAUGCCAAAAUUCAAGGUUUCCAACUCUAUCAUGAUGAAUUUGAGACUAUCUCAGUUUGCCAAUUAGGCCAUAGCUUCUCUUUUGAUAUAUUAUUAUUACUAGCUUAGCCUCAGAGAGACUGGCAUCGCUCGAACGGCCAGUCCGCAGCGAAGACAGCAAAGGGCAUUGCAUAUAUUACAAUUCCCCUCAAUGGGCUGCGUCUGGGGGAAGCAGACACUUGAGCACCAAAAUUUCGCUCUUCUUGCUGCUCAAACCUGCUGCUGAUGAGUUGCAGCUCGGCUUAUUCAAGAGCAGGAAGAAGCAAAGUCUCUUUGCAGAUCGGGUCAGCUAUGAUCACAAAUUCAACACUUCUCAUUCUCGACCACUAAUCUUGUCGUUCCCCACUUGCUGCAAUAUUCCUCUGCUUUCUCAGAUCUUCAAGUUAUUCGACUACAAGCAAGACGGGGUGAUAGAGUUUCAAGAAUUUGUUCGUUCUUUGAGUGUCUUCCACCCUGCAGCUCCUCAAGAGGAGAAGGCUAUCUUCGCAUUCAAGUUGUACGACACAUGGGAAACAGGCUUCAUUGAACGUGAUGAGGUAGAAAGACGAACUCUCAGACUGCGGGACCCAAAAAUCCUAUAGUUAAUAGUUAAUGCAAAGAUGAAAACUUCCAUUGAGGUGUCAUCACGAAUUGGACUCAGUUUUUUCAAAUAUUAUACGAGGUUCGAGCUACUAUCAUUUUCAAAUCACAUUAUGCAAGGUCAGGGAAUUGAUUUCGGCACUUCUGGAGGAGUCGGAUUUGGUCUUUCCAAGUGAUAUCAUUGAAACAAUCAUCAACAAGGUACUGCUAUUGCUUGCAAUGGUAGCAACCAGAACUUAAUAUAUGUACCGCAUGAUUAGUGACGUAUAGUUUUUAUAGACAUUUGAAGACGCAGAUUCAAAAAGAGAUGGAAAGAUCGACAUUGAGGAGUGGAAGCAAUUUGUUACCCGAAAUCCCUCGGUACUGAAGAACAUGACGAUCCCACAUCUUAAGUAAUAUCCUCUCUCUAUCUGAUUAUGGGGUUAUAACAAAAUAAUGCAUCAGUCGGGUUUCGCACUGUUAGAUAAGAAGUUUGCCCGGUUUCAUUCCUUAUGAACAGAUUGACAGCAGAUAUUGGAUCCCUUCGAGUCAGUUUAAAAAAAAAAUUGAUGGAGCUCAAGAGUUUUCUCCAUUCUGAAUCGAGAUAAUGAUCUCGAUAAAUCCUCCUGUGCAGGGACAUCACGACAGCAUUUCCGAGCUUUGUGGUCAAACCAGAGAUCGAAGAUGAUCCUAACAUCUCUUAGAAAUCUGUAAAAUCAACUUACAGUUUCAUAUUUUCAAAAUGACAGCGACCACGGACUACAUCAUUUCGAGAGACUACACCAUUUCAGCAUACAACAAAAACAACCGAGACUAAAAUACAGCCGCGGAAAAACAAGCAGCAGUCAUUGUACAUUUCUCGAUACUACAAUAGCCAAAAAAGCAUCCUCUUACUUUGUCACUUGGCCCUAUGGACGACCAGUUUGGGCCACCAUCUGCUCCAAGUUCAUGGGGUAGCACAUGUUCGUGUGGGAUCCAUUCCACACAUUAUCCGCAAGAAUAGCAUUCACUGCAUCAGUCGGGUGGAAUUGGUCCCACCAUAUAUGGCUCGAAGCAUUAA